AUUUAUUUUAAAAAUUUAUUUUGUACUUCAGAUUAAAUUAGAAUUUGAAAUUUACAUCUUUACAGAGGAAUGUUCUAAAUGUUUAGUGGUGUAUGUUUUGAUUCAGAACACCACAAACUCAUUUAGAGAUGAAUGGACAAGAUAUACAAAUAUUUGUAAACAAAUUUACAAUCUUUCAAUAUGCAAUCAGAAAUAUUAAAUUGUACUGAUUUUGUGCCAGAAAAUACAAAGAUCUUGGAAUAUUUUUCUGAUUACUACUAACUUAACUCUUUCCGUAAUUAUUUUUCCACGUUUUGAAGGAAUUCUUCAUUUGCUUAUUACUAUUUCACUACCCCUGUUAUGAUUGGGCUUCAAUAGCAUUGUUGUUUAUCAGAAAAUGUUGUAUUUGGUAUAGAAAUAAAGGGGAAUGCAUGGUCUUUUUAUAUAAUUCAAAGUCAAUUUAAAAAAAUUAAACAUUAAUUUAAUUUACUGAGGUCAAAAUCAAAGAUGGUAUCGUCGAUUAGGAGAGAAAGAGUUAACAAGGGCGCCAAAAAAAACAACAAAAGGCACAAUUUUAAAUGAAACUUGAUCAAAUUAAAAUGUAACAAAAUAGCAAAGAAACAAAUUAUCCAAUAAUAGACAAUGUACACUUUUUUUUUUUAGUUUACAAUCAGAUGUAUGUACAGAAAUAUAUAUCUUUAAGCAUUUAUGUACACAAGUCAAAAACACUUAAAUGAUAAGCACAUGGUAAAGUUCAGAGUUUAUCUGUGAUUUGUGGAAAGACUUAAUAAACACCCCCCCCCCCCCCCCCC